rnacentral:lncRNA from 1 species
AAUAAAUGUUGAGUGAUAUUUGAAAUAAUAAUGCAAAAAUAUGAGGAAAGUGUAGCUAUUUAAAACAGACUAUUUUUACUGGAAGAUACUCUUGUUAGCAAAACUAAGAUGAUAACUUUUAUUAUGGGUAUACAGUGUGUAAAAUCAUAAAUAUAUAACAUACUAGACAUGUGUUCUUUAUAGAAACAGUUUUUGAGGAAUCAUAGGUUUGGAAUUUACAAGAGCAAAUUCUGAAGGAGAUAUAAUUACAGAAGCAUUUUCACUGAUAGCUAAGCAGAGGUUAUAACUCACUGAAGAUGGGACUGCUUUAUAUUUCAUAGUACU